CAGUAGCCGCGGUAAUACGGAGGAUCCAAGCGUUAUCCGGAAUCAUUGGGUUAAAGGGUCCGUAGGCGGUCUUGUAAGUCAGUGGUGAAAGCCCAUCGCUCAACGGUGGAACGGCCAUUGAUACUGCAGGACUUGAAUUAUUGGGAAGUAACUAGAAUAUGUAGUGUAGCGGUGAAAUGCUUAGAGAUUACAUGGAAUACCAAUUGCGAAGGCAGGUUACUACCAAUUGAUUGACGCUGAUGGACGAAAGCGUGGGUAGCGAACAGGAUUAGAUACCCCCGUAGUCCCUGUCUCUUAUACC
rnacentral:rRNA from 1 species